rnacentral:rRNA from 1 species
GAUGAACGCUGGCGGCGUGCUUAACACAUGCAAGUCGAACGGUGAAGGCGGAGCUUGCUCUGCUGGAUCAGUGGCGAACGGGUGAGUAACACGUGAGCAAUCUGCCCCUGACUCUGGGAUAAGCGCUGGAAACGGCGUCUAAUACUGGAUACGAGCUGCGGAGGCAUCUUCAGCAGCUGGAAAGAAUUUCGGUCAGGGAUGAGCUCGCGGCCUAUCAGCUUGUUGGUGAGGUAAUGGCUCACCAAGGCGUCGACGGGUAGCCGGCCUGAGAGGGUGACCGGCCACACUGGGACUGAGACACGGCCCAGACUCCUACGGGAGGCAGCAGUGGGGAAUAUUGCACAAUGGGCGAAAGCCUGAUGCAGCAACGCCGCGUGAGGGACGACGGCCUUCGGGUUGUAAACCUCUUUUAGCAGGGAAGAAGCGAAAGUGACGGUACCUGCAGAAAAAGCGCCGGCUAACUACGUG